UAAUGACGACAAAUGAUUUAAUAUAAACCAUUCAUAUAUUUCAACUUUCAAUAAACAUUUUGAGUGCAUAACAAUAAAUAGCAUUCAUAACUUACUAGACAGUUUACAAAGCUUCUUCAGGUCAUUGUUAUUUAUUUCUACCAACAGCUCUGCAGUUAACCUACUAAAAUGACAAUCCCUGUAUAUAAUAAAGGCGCAAAAUAUUGCUUUAUAGCAUAUUUUGAAAAUAAUAUAAAAAUAAGUUCUAUAUUACAAUUUAAACUUGGCUUGUAAAAUUUCAACAUAAUACAGCCUUUAAUCUACAAACAGAACACAUACAAACACUGUUCCUUUUAAAUUUUCUCAACAUAUACUAUAUUUUUUUAAUCAUAUAGUUAAUUUCGUGAUGUGCAAAUAAAUAGAAAAUUGUGUAAAUUACACAAAAAAAAAAUAAAAAUAAAACAGGAAAGAAAAAUUAAACAAAUUUAAGCCAGUUUGGUGAAAGGUCUAUGAGGAAAUUUCUGAUGACUGAAACAGCUCUUUACCAUCUACAUAAAAUGAUAUCUAUAGAUAAUGAGGUCUGAACUACACACAGGUUUUAUUGAAAGACAAAUGUCACAUGUAAGUCAUAUGUAUAUUUUUUUCCCGGAAGAACAAAUUUAAGAUAUGAUGAUGAAUAGAUAUGUUAGUCACUUGGAUUGGAACCGAUCAGAAAACAUUUUAGCCAAUUUGUCAUCAAGGUACUUCACACCAUCUGCAAAGAACUUUGUGCUGUUAGAUAAAGCUCGACUAGUAACCCACUUCUUGUCUGAAAAAUCUGAUGUGGGAAAACAAACCCUCCCCCCAUGUAGGUGACUGUGCAAUGGUCCAAAAUUGAAGGAAAACUAUGUUCACUCCAGGAAUUAGAGGAGAUGGAACAACGGUCAUAUAUAGUCAAUAUAUGUGUAUAUUGAAGCACAAGAAUCAAGCGUGCAUUUUUCGGCAUGUGUUUUACUUAACCAAACCUGAAAUGUGUUCUUUUGUGUAAGAGUGCUUCCUUUGCUCCUUGGAUUUUGACUUUAGGGAGAAAAUGUACUCACCGGAGACAUAACAUUGUUGUCACACUUGCUUCAUACAGCCUGAAUAACAUUUUUUUUUAAUGUCGCGACAGAGGUAUCUUCAGCUGAUAAUGCGUGGCAAUAUAAACUCAAAGUGGUGACAAAGUCUCUUGUUGCUGCAUGUGAAUGUUCUUUCAUAUUUAACCAAAUUGUAUACAGAGGGAGUAAAGAUCAGAUUGCAUCCCCUAGGAUUACAUUAAUGCUAAAUUUAACAUCAUUAGGGCUAGGUACAACACACAAACAUAUGCAGAUGUUGAAACCUACAAACGGUAGUUAGUGCAGUUUCCCAUCACAUUCAUUCAAUGUAUCUAAGAAAUAUAGCAUUACAUGAAAUUUAAUAAACACAUUUUUGUUUUGGCAUUCGUCAACCUAGAUAUCGGACAGUAUAUAGGGAAUAUAUUUGCAUAGCAACUCUGAUAUACAGAAACACAUUAGUAAUAUAGUAGGAGUAUCUAUAUUCUUCACAGACUUUUACAGAUUUUGUGCAAUUUGCAAAUGAAUGUACAACCCUAUAUGAAAGGCCAACAUACAAUCCAUGUAUAUCCUGGUAUGAUGUUCAGCAGUUUUUGUAGUGCAACUUUCACAAGACUCAGGCAGCAGUUAAAUGGAAUUAUAGGCCAGCGACCAAUGAAAAUCCACAGGUUAUAACAGAAAUACACCUUAUAGCUCUUCAGCGUCAAUAACCCCAGAAGACAAAGUGAUCAUACUUUCAUUGUAGAAUUUUGCUCUCAGGACCUGUUACAGAAUCAGUUAAACAAUUUACUAGGCCUUACUUUACAAACAAAAGAUCUGACAUCUUCAGAUAUGAUCAUGGAUCCUGCUAGGACAAUACAGGUUUUUCAUUUGAAAUUAUUUAUGCUUCAUAAAAUCCCAGUGCUGACAAAUUAUUGAUAAUCAUUUAACAAUCUUUUAGAGUUAUUGUUUGAGAUAUGUGCAUUAUAAAAAAAGUAUAUAUUUGGGGAAAAGAAUAAGAUGAAAAUAACCUAGUUGGAGAGAAUUGUGGGCCUUUUGCACUUUAGAUACAAAUAGUCUGAUAUCAAAUCCAGAAUAUUAACACAAGAAAAAAAAUAAAAAUGAUAUUUACACACACGAAAAAAAAGAUAAACAGCGGCCAUAUUUCAAUAAAGCAAUAUAUUAGUUUUGUGCUAACGUUCCACUCGUAUAAUAUAUUAGGAAAUAAGGUUCCACAGUGUGUGUUGUUGAAACGUUGAAAGUCAAAGAUCAAUAUAGCCAAAGUUUUUUCCCCUUUCCCUUUAGUAAAUAAGCGAUAUAUAAAAAAAAAUUUAAUUUUUAAAAAUGUAAAGAAAAAUAAAAAGAAAUAAAAAAGUAUUUUACAACAAAACAUAUUCCCCGAUGGGGCACUCACCAGCCUGGAACUGGACCUACUUACAGCAGAAAAAUAUGCCAACGGAGUAGGCCAAUGGCAACAAUAACAAAUGUAUCUUUAUACAAUAAAGCGAUGGCUGUCACAUUUCAUAACAUUAGCUUCCUUAGGAGAUAAAUCAAAAUAUCAUACUAAUAAGCACUCGAUGGCAUCUAAGUGAUUUUAUUUAGCCCCCAAGGAAGUCUUCGUAAUAAGACAUGUGGAGUCAUCGCUUCUAUGUAUUUAAUUACAUUGGUCCUGGUGUGACACUAUUACUGCAAUAUUGGGAUACCGGUCCUUCGACCAGCUUCACUGAAAGAGCAGAUAGCGUAUUGAGUUUAAUUUACUUAUUUUUAGCAUGAGUUGUUAAACUACAAGUAUAUGAAACAUACUUAAAAUAUAGCCAAAAAGGCAACUCCACAAACAUACAGCAGUUUUACAUGGUCUUCAUAUCUUUCAUGCAAUUUUAUUUUUUUUUAGUCUUCCUGUUCAGUAGGAUGGCUACUGAUCCUUAAUCUCACAUGGUCUUCAGUUAACACUUCAGACAUGCCUACAGUUUUUUCAAGAUUGCCUGACAUCCAUAAACUACUAAAUAUGUCUAUCAAUGUUAACAGUUUUUUGUGUAAUAAUUGUUUGCAGAGGUCGUAGCCUGUAUGCAACUACAGGGACUUGGAAUUUAGCUGAAGACCCUGGUGAUGGUGAGUGAUUAGGAAAUUAAUUCUGUCUGGACAAGAUAGACCGAUGAAGUAUGCAGGUAUGGAAAAACAAAACCUGCAAAGGACUAGUUGAGUUAUGAAAACUACCAAGCUGGAUGGUAUACGAAAUCUAAUUAAAAAUGUGUGGAUGGAGGAACUAAAAAAACAAAAACAAAAAAAAAAACGGGUAAAAUCAGAUCCUAUAUGGAGAGGAGAGCAGAAAUUGAAGGAGAGAUUAGGAGAUAAGAGUAUAAAAAGCAUGUGAAGAAUUGAAAUGGGUGAGUGGGCUGCCAAUGAGCAAUUGUUCCAACGAUUGACCAGUAAGUGAUGUUUUUACAUGGCCAUCAAUCCAAUAAUUUUACUGCAGUAUAGGAAUUUAGGCUUAAAGAUAUAUAUUUAUUAAUAAAAAAAAAAAUGUUUUUAUUGGUGAAAUUUUUUUAUUUUUUUUUACCGGUGUUAAGAAUUAAGGGAUUAAACAACAAUAAUAGGGUUUGGACUAUUAUGCCCCUUACAGCAGAAAAUUAAGUGUUUACAUUUUACACACAAAAAUAGGGAUUUGUUAAUCAUUAAGCUACAAAAGACAUUUCAACUACAUAUAAUGAAAAAUAAAAUAAAAAUGGGCCACUGGAAAACAUUACGAUAUACAACACUAUAUCGGUCACAAUACACACUAGCUAUCUGCUGCAGGUUUUAUACAGCGCAUAUAACAUACACUAAACCACAUAUAUAUGGACGAUCAGACUGGGACAAAUUGAUCUUAAACUAAACGAAUAUCCCUGCUUCAUACACUUACUGAACUUUCUUUGCAAUAAGAUUUGAGGGGCGAUUUAGACAUUGCCACACUCCUGCUGCUCUGGCAAUCAACUCACAUUAUGCUUAGUCAAUUGGUUGGCUUCCUUACUUACAAAAUAUAUAAAUGUACUUAAACAUAGUAAGUAAAUUGUAUCUGGUCUAUUCAGCUUGGGGUAGAAAAGGGAGAGGAGCAUUGCUUGCACGGUCAGGCUGUAUCAUUUAUAGGAUAUGAACACAACUUAAUUCGGUCUGACUUAUUGUAAAAUGUAGCAAUUAAAGAUUUAUAAAUUAAAGUCUAACACCAUAGCUAUUAUUAUUUAUUUGCUCUAUGGCCAGGACAUAUCUAAUACAUGCAGAGCAGACGUUAUAGUUUCCACACAAGACUAAUCAAGAUUUGAACAAUGUCUUGUAUAGGACAUGAAGCGGUUUCUAUAUCCAACAAAAUGGACUUGAUAUUUUUUUAUUUAUGCACUUUGAGUAUAUAUAUUUAUUUUAUCAGCAAUAUUGGGCACAUGAGAAUAUGGGACAUUAUAAUCAGUGGGAUGUCCAUAGCUUAGGAGACACGGGGAGGACCAGCCACUGAGUAACCAAAUGAGACUAGUGUGUGGAUAGUUCACACAAACAUUCACUCAACUUAUUUUCUUGGGUAGCUGCAUUACAUUUGGAACAUCUUAUGACACUGGAAGUAACUACAUGAACCGGAACAGUGCAUCAAUGAGGUGUUGGGUUCUCUCUCACCGGCGGUGAUACACUGCCCUUGUAAUACAUAACCUCUCUGGGAUAGGGUUAUAGAAGAUGGGAGAAUAGCUGGAAAAAGAAAAUAUCAGUGCUCCAGGUAAUUAUCUUUGGGCUUUGUUGGCUCUGUCGCUAUAUUUUUGCCUCUUGCAAAAAUGAGCUUCUCACCAGCCUUUCAUCGAGCUAAAAGAAAUAGAGACUGUAGGAGAGUAGAAAUAAAUAAAAUCUUGAGUUUAUAGAAUUGUAACUAGUGGAGACAUAUCUUUCGCUUUCUCUCAUCUAAAUUAGUUUGCCACUGGGAAAUAUGGAUUGUCACUUGCCCUGCUCAAGUGCCCAUCUGUAAAUCCUUUUCCUUCUUAACCCUAUCAGUGCAGAGAUAGAGACACUUAAGACUAUACGCUUGUGUCUGGAUAUAGACUGGCAGGGUUAGGGAAGUAACACAGGCAAUUGUUCAGUAACAGGAUUAAUCCACAGUUCAUACAAACAUUGCGCCUGGCUAGGGAACAUUAACUAAAGGAAAUAAACGUUGAACUGAUAUUUUAGUAGGCUUCACUUUUUCAGUUUUUUAUAAAUGAUAUAUUGUCAAAUUUGGCCCUCCCUAAUGGAGUUUUGGUCCCCAUAAUAUUUAUAUAGACUUUAUAAAUAUAGAUUAUAGUUUCAUGACUUUCAAAGAAUGGCAUGUAUACCAUAAUGAUUCAAAGGUAAGCAAACUACGAACAAGAAUGCGUAAAUUCUGGUUGAAAAUGCAUUAAGCAAUUCAUAUAUGACAAUAGGAUGGAAGACCUGAUUGGGGACAGUAUCAAAAGACAUAUCAGAAACAUGAAACUGACUUUUCAAGAAAAUCUAGGAGGUGAAAGAAGCUCGAGAGAAAAUUGAUCAAAAGUUUGAUCAAAUCCUAAAGUUUACAAAUUUCGCUGUGGCCCUAUCAAGUGACAUGGCCUUCCGUAUUGAUUUGAUGGGGUAUAUCUGUAGUCGCCUGGUUGGAUCUGGCCAAUAAUAUACACAAUACUGUAAUUUCCACUUGAAGUUAAUCAAUCAGAAAACAUUCUGUGCCCAAAGUUAUUGGAAUUGCAACUACUCUUUGUUAGUCUGGAAUUCUUCUAAGAAUGUUUUUUACUCUGUUUAGAAAAAAAUAAAAAUAAAAAAAAUAGGUGCUAGUGUCCAAUCUUAUUCCAUCUUCUGCUGAUUCCACCAAAGAGAAUAGAUGAAACCUGGAGGAUAAUACCUCGCGAUGUUUGGACGUAUUAAACAGAGGAGGCAAUGCGAACGCUCAUUUAACGCAAACAGGAGCAACAAAUUGGGUCAAUGCCAAGCAGGCACACAUACAUGUACCAGUCAGGCCUUCACAUGUGGAAUCUGUUGUGUAGCUGCUCUUGCAAGUUUGGAUUUGCAAGACAGUGGUGUCACAAGUGAAUAUUUUUGAAGUCCCCAGAAGGGGGUGUGGGGUGUGGCAUAAACAAAUUAAUACAUCAGAAUACGGUACUUUGUAACUGUGUGGAAAGGCAAGUUUGAAACCAAAGAAUGGCAUAAAACUAGCAAAACAAUUAAGCACAGCUUUUGCUAUACAAUACCCCAAGGUAGAUAAAACUAACAGACCAUGACAUUUUCAUCUGCAGAUAAGAGAUGCGUAAAAAGGAAGCAGCGAUAAUUUUCUGGUAACAGGUAUAAAAUGUGUGCCUGCCUUCUUUUUCUUUUAAAUGUUCUUUCAUAGCACAAUUACCAAUGCCGUACAGUUAAACCCCUUAAGGACCAAACUUCUGGAAUAAAAGGGAAUCAUGACAUGUCACGUGUCCUUAAGGGGUUAAAGUAGUAUGCAUGUUUACUUCAUACUGGAACAUGUUAUAAGGGACUCAUGUCAUUUAAGCAUUAAAAAUGUUUUUCAAGGUUUUAUCUUGUGGUUGGCUUGUUUGGAGGAAGUUGAUAAGUUAAUGGUCAGGAACAAAGAUGAUUUCGCCACAGACCUGCAGAGUAUUUUCUUCUGCAAUGGCAAGAAGAUAAGUGGAGAACAAAGCAUGCAACACAUGCACAGCAAAAUCUUUUGUUUCUGCCACUACCAGUGUGUGCAAGUCCAUUGACAGAAGGCUGUCUGGUAGGGGGACAUAUCAGUUAGCUAAACAUCUUAUUCUAUCUACCAGGGUAUCUGCAAGAUGAAACCCUGGAACAUGAUUUUGCUAAAUGUCUACACAGUGUAUAAACAUAAUGUAGAUACCACUUUAAUUUGUACAAAACAGCCUGUUGUGUAAAGAUUAAUAUACCAAUUAUACUGAUCAUUCUUUAACAUAUGUGCGGUUUGGUUCUCCCACUGAACAACAUUUCUAACCUUGUAUAUUUUGGCUAAUUGACUUAACAAAAUGCAAUACAGUUCUCCUAAACAGUGUGGAUAUUUAAAGGGACAUGCAUCAGUUGACAAUUAUGUUUUUUAAACAAGCAAACACAAAUAAAUAUACAAAUCAAAAUAAAGCAAGAAAAUCUUUGAAAAAGUAAGGUAUGCAUGUUUAUAAACUUACUAUAAGGAGAGAGAAACCCAACACCGAAGUCUGCUCUGCAUAAAUCACACUGAUCAGACUCUCUUUCAGAUAAAUGUUGCAAAGUGAAGAGAUCUUCCAACUGCACAUGCCCAAUGUACUUUUCCAGCAUUCCUAGGGAUAGGACACUGAUUUGUUAUACCAAUGCCCCCCACCCGGAGUGGGUAUGGAAAGCAUAAGAAAGAAGAAGCAUGUAAAUAUGAAAAAAAAAUUGCAUAUUGUACCUGCUUUUUUCAGUCUGUAGAGUAAGACAAACUAUCUAAUUCAAAGCUAAAGCUUUUGAACGAGACAGUUGUCUCAAAAUGGUGCAUGUCCCUUUAAUGAAGGCAUGUAGAAUAAAAUAAAAUUGCAAAGUCAUCCUUGUGGAGAUAUCCAAAAAAAUGUGGUCUAUAUUUCCUACCAACGUGUGUAUUAAAUCACAGUACUUGACAUAAUGACCCUAAAGGCAAAAGUAUUUAAAAGUAUGCAAAAAAACAUUCCCUUUAAUGUUCCAUUAGCUACAGUGACUACAGACCACGGCCUCGAGGGAUUUACUAUUUGAGCAGCAUGCUGUCGAGAGUUGCCAGGUGGAUUUCAAAAUUGAGGCAAACCGUGCAGUGCUGGCACAAAUCACAGUUGACCUUUUAUUAAACAAUCUGCUGUGUGCACAAGGUGGAGAGCUUUUGGAACAGGAUGAAGCAACCAGAGACUGCCUGCUGUAUGUUAUUGGUGCUGAAUUGCUCUGCACACAGCCAACUCAUAUCUGCUCUACAAAAUGUACCAAUUUAUACAUUAUAGUACGGAAUGCAUACACAGCAAGCACGCAUACAAGCUGAUUUGUCAAUCACUGGCUAACCCUCUCGAUCAAGAAAUUAUUCUAGCAAAAACACCAAAUACAUACUUAGAUUUGAUGUUUCCAGAGUGCCAUGGGAUGUGCAUGCAACCAUGUGCUUUCACUAUGCUAAAUGAAACAUCUCAGAAUGCAGUGGUCAUUGUGGGAUACCACACUAAGCAUUGUUGGAAUCUGACACAUGCAUAGCCAGUGACCGUGCCAUACACUGCAUGUUUAUGCUUAAAGGACCACUAUAGUGCCAGGAAAACAAACUCGUUUUCCUGGCAAUAUAGUGCCCUGAGGGUGCCCCCACCCUCAUGGCCCCCCUUCCCCCAGGCUGAAGUUGGAGGAAGGGGUUAAUUUCUUACCUUUCUCCAGCGCCGGGCUCCCUUGGCGUUGGGGACUCUCCGCCUCCUUCUGACAUCAUCGGCUGAAUGCGCAUGCGCUGCAAGAGCCGCGCGCGCAUUCAGUCAGUCAGUCCAUAGGAAAUCAUUUCUCAAUGCUUUCCUAUGGAUGCUGGAGUCUUCUCACUGUGAAAAUCACUAGAGGCUGGAUUAACCAAUAUGUAAACAUAGCAGUUUCUCUGAAACUGCUAUGUUUACACCAGGCAGGGUUAAACCUAGAUGGACCUGGCACCCAGACCACUUCAUUAAGCUGAAGUGGUCUGGGUGCCUGUAGUGGUCCUUUAAUUCUAGUUUAAUAAUGCAGCCAUUUAUUAUCCCAAUGCAACGAUAUCUCAAAACGAUCUAUUGCAGGAGCAUGUUAAAGCACGUGUUCUUCGAUAAUCAUGACUACUACGUGUGCAAAGGCCCAGUGUGUUUAAACAAUUCUAAUUUAUGCAGACUUAUUGCUGCAUGUGGGACUGUAUCUCUCAGUGAUUAUAUACGAUAUGGUAUACAUGGCGAGAGACACCAGAUCACACUGCAAUAAUAUACAUCGGUUUUAUCAUACAUUGACAAACUGCCAAGGUUUUGUGUUUAAAGAGAGGGCUUGAUUAAACGGAUAUGAUUUGGGUUUUUCAGGCAAAUGGAUGUCUUGCACCAACUAACAAACUUAUAGAUGGAAAUGUCCAGAAAUGCACAUUUGUCUCUAGCAAACACAACCCUGUCUUAAUUAAACUUAGAUUUAUUUUUUUGUGUUACCAAGUAAAAAUAUAAUAAAAAAAAGCAAAAGCUGUUGAAACACAACUAAAUGAUCCAAAUAAGUGAAUCUAACAAAUUUAGUGUUAGAUCUUUAUCAUUAUUUGCAAGCUAAUGGUUUAAUAUGUCUUAGGCACAGAAUCCAUCUCAAGUGACGGGAACCCCCAAAUGCUGCUAAUUUCUGCCUAAAAUAUGUCCAUGUAUCAUGGUUUAUACAGUGUCCUAGUCCCAUCGAUCUGCUAUUACCAAGAUGUAUACAAUGUAAGACAACAUUACAAAAACAAAUUUAUGUAAAAUGCACAUGAACUGACUGACCCUAAAAAGUUAGUACAAAUCCAAGUUUUUCUUAUCUAUGAAAUUAAUAACCAUGAUGACCAAAGCACUUUAUACUAACAGGAGCUUUGGCUGUACAAAACCAAUAUACAUAUAUAUUUAUAUAUAUACACAUAUAUAUUUAUAUAUAU